rnacentral:rRNA from 1 species
CAACUUUCAACAACGGAUCUCUUGGCUCUCGCAUCGAUGAAGAACGCAGCGAAAUGCGAUAAGUAAUGUGAAUUGCAGAUUUUCAGUGAAUCAUCGAAUCUUUGAACGCACCUUGCGCUCCUUGGUAUUCCAAGGAGCAUGCCUGUUUGAGUGUCAUUA